rnacentral:lncRNA from 1 species
CAACUAAUAAUUCAUAGAUUUGAUGAGAUUCCUCAAGCUGCACAAUUAUCCGGCCUCCAUAGAUACCCACACAAGAUUCAUUGUCCGAUUAGAGAUUAUCCAAGUCCCCAGAGUGCUGGCUCUCUUACAGACUUUCUUCUUGAUGGCUGAUUCGAUGGCUUCUUUAAAUUUCUCAGACUCUUCUAGAGAUGAAGAAGGCUUUUAGAAGGAUUAAAAAUGAUGGAAGAAGAUGUAGAGAAGAAACUAUUUCUCUUUUUCUCUCUUGUAAAAUCCCAACACCCAAACCCUAGGAAACCUAGGGUUAUUUUUCUACACACCA